rnacentral:rRNA from 1 species
AGCGAACGCUGGCGGCAGGCCUAACACAUGCAAGUCGAGCGCCCCGCAAGGGGAGCGGCAGACGGGAGAGUAACACGUGGGAACGUACCCUUCGGUUCGGAACAACCCAGGGAAACUUGGGCUAAUACCGGAUACGUCCGAAAGGAGAAAGAUUUAUCGCGGAGGGAGAGGCCCGCGUCUGAUUAGCUAGUUGGCGGGGUAACGGACCACCAAGGCGACGAUCAGUAGCUGGUCUGAGAGGAUGAUCGGCCUAACUGGGACUGAGACACGGCCCAGACUCCUACGGGAGGCAGCAGUGGGGAAUAUUGGACAAUGGGCGCAAGCCUGAUCCAGCCAUGCCGCGUGGGUGAUGAAGGCCCUAGGGUUGUAAAGCCCUUUCGGCGGGGAAGAUAAUGACGGUACCCGCAGAAGAAGCCCCGGCUAACUUCGUGCCAGCCGCCGCCGUAAGAC